rnacentral:rRNA from 1 species
AAGGUUAGCUAAUCCUGGUCGGACAUCAGGAGGUUAGUGCAAUGGCAUAAGCUAGCUUGACUGCGAGCGUGACGGCGCGAGCAGGUGCGAAAGCAGGUCAUAGUGAUCCGGUGGUUCUGAAUGGAAGGGCCAUCGCUCAACGGAUAAAAGGUACUCCGGGGAUAACAGGCUGAUACCGCCCAAGAGUUCAUAUCGACGGCGGUGUUUGGCACCUCGAUGUCGGCUCAUCACAUCCUGGGGCUGAAGUAGGUCCCAAGGGUAUGGCUGUUCGCCAUUUAAAGUGGUACGCGAGCUGGGUUUAGAACGUCGUGAGACAGUUCGGUCCCUAUCUGCCGUGGGCGCUGGAGAAUUGAGGGGGGCUGCUCCUAGUACGAGAGGACCGGAGUGGACGCAUCACUGGUGUUCGGGUUGUCAUGCCAAUGGCACUGCCCGGUAGCUAAAUGCGGAAGAGAUAAGUGCUGAAAGCAUCUAAGCACGAAACUUGCCCCGAGAUGAGUUCUCCCUGAGACUUUAA